rnacentral:rRNA from 1 species
GACGAACGCUGGCGGCGUGCCUAACACAUGCAAGUCGAGCGAUGAAAUCCCUUCGGGGAUGGAUUAGCGGCGGACGGGUGAGUAACACGUGGGUAACCUGCCUCAAAGUGGGGGAUAGCCUUCCGAAAGGAAGAUUAAUACCGCAUAAUAUUAGAUUUUCGCAUGAAAAACUAAUUAAAGGAGCAAUCCGUUUUGAGAUGGACCCCGCGGCGCAUUAGCUAGUUGGUGAGGUAAUGGCUCACCAAGGCGACGAUGCGUAGCCGACCUGAGAGGGUGAUCGGCCACAUUGGAACUGAGACACGGUCCAGACUCCUACGGGUGGCUG